rnacentral:rRNA from 1 species
AUUGAACGCUGGCGGCAUGCCUUACACAUGCAAGUCGAACGGCAGCAUGAUCUAGCUUGCUAGAUUGAUGGCGAGUGGCGGACGGGUGAGUAAUACAUCGGAACGUGCCCUGUAGUGGGGGAUAACUAGUCGAAAGAUUAGCUAAUACCGCAUACGACCUGAGGGUGAAAGUGGGGGACCGCAAGGCCUCAUGCUAUAGGAGCGGCCGAUGUCUGAUUAGCUAGUUGGUGAGGUAAAGGCUCACCAAGGCGACGAUCAGUAGCUGGUCUGAGAGGACGAUCAGCCACACUGGGACUGAGACACGGCCCAGACUCCUACGGGAGGCAGCAGUGGGGAAUUUUGGACAAUGGGCGAAAGCCUGAUCCAGCAAUGCCGCGUGUGUGAAGAAGGCCUUCGGGUUGUAAAGCACUUUUGUCCGGAAAGAAAUGGCUCUGGUUAAUACCUGGGGUCGAUGACGGUACCGGAAGAAUAAGGACCGGCUAACUACGUG